CCUACGGGCGGCAGCAGUGAGGAAUAUUGGUCAAUGGGCGGGAGCCUGAACCAGCCAAGCCGCGUGAGGGAAGAAGGUACAGCGUAUCGUAAACCUCUUUUGUCAGGGAACAAAGGCGGGGACUAGUCCCCGGCUGAGGGUACCUGAAGAAAAAGCAUCGGCUAACUCCGUGCCAGCAGCCGCGGUAAUACGGAGGAUGCGAGCGUUAUCCGGAUUUAUUGGGUUUAAAGGGUGCGUAGGCGGAAUAUCAAGUCAGCGGUAAAAAUUCGGGGCUCAACCCCGUCGUGCCGUUGAAACUGAUGUUCUUGAGUGGGCGAGAAGUAUGCGGAAUGCGUGGUGUAGCGGUGAAAUGCAUAGAUAUCACGCAGAACUCCGAUUGCGAAGGCAGCAUACCGGCGCCCAACUGACGCUGAAGCACGAAAGCGUGGGUAUCGAACAGGAUUAGAUACCCCAGUAGUC
rnacentral:rRNA from 1 species